rnacentral:lncRNA from 1 species
AUGAUUCUAAAUAAAAUAAAAAUGGCAAUUAUAAAAUAAAAACAGUAAAUAAAAAAACAAAUACAAUAUUUUUGUAAGUUUUUUAGAUAACUUUCUUUCAGCCAAAGGGUGCAGAAAGCAAAAACAGAGGUGCAAAUAAUAAAACUGUAGUGAAAAUAAAAAAAAGAACAACUGGGCUUGGGCAGAAACGGGUCGUGGGCGGGUCGGUUAGACCCGCCCGGUUCAAAGUUAUAAAUAGGGUGUGUGACCCAUUUUCCUCAUUUUUCCCAUUUCAUUUCUCUCUCUUCCCUAAUCUAACCUCACGUCCCUCUCUUCUCUCUUCUUCUUCUUUUUUCUUUGAGUUUUCCGGCGCGGUGGCCGCCGGCCAAGGGUGGCUGCGCCGCCGCGCCGGACUUUAAAAAUUAGCCUUUUUCGUUUUUUUUUUUUUAGCUCUUUCUCUUCUACUCCUAUUCCUACACUCGUUUCUAGCCUUAAAUCCUACAAAAACGAACCUUAAACCUCUAGAUCUACAGUUUUAGAAACGAAAAAAAACAAACAAAAACGGCCAUCAAACAUCCGGAAUCGAAACAAAUCUGCAUGCUAUAUAAGUUAGUGAAAGCUUUACCUCUGAUUGGAUCGGAGAAAGAGCGGAUUUAAACGAGAAAAAGUUUGAUCUGCUGCUUGCUAUGCCCGCGUCGGAAGACUCUUUCUCUUUUCCGAAUAUCCCACGAACCUGUGUUGUUUAUGAGCCUGAAACAAAAAAACAAAUCGAAAUCGAACGUUGGUGACAGGUUCGGAUUCGUUGUUGUUAGUGAUGAACGAUUUUCGAGUUUAAUGGUUCCUGGUAAAUUUGGAUGUUAUACGAUUUUGUGGUUUGUGAGUUUCUGGUGAAUUUGUGGCUUAUAGGAAAUUUGUGGAUAAACAUUCAUGAAUUGUUCAUAAGGUGACUGCGGUUGAAAAGUCUCUGCUUUUUCUGUUUGCAGCUAGGGUUUCUUUCUCUUGCGGCUGUGAAAUUUUUCUGUUUGCGGCUGUGAAAUUUUUUUCUCUAAUUCUCUUUUUGCAGCCUUCAUUUUAUAGUAUUAGGGUUGAUGAGAAAAAGGAAAUAAUUUGCAAAAGGUAGCAACGAAUUCCUGGAUUUGGAAACAAAAAUUUUGACCCUAUGAAUCUGGAAAAAUAUUUUGGACCUUUGCUGGAAUUUUUCGGACUUAUUAACUUGACAUUAUAGCACAAAAAAUAGAAAAUAAACUAUUAAAUAUAUAAAGAGUAACUAAUUUAAACUAAAUAAAAAUUAAAUUAAAACUAAUAAAAGAUGGACAUUAAACACUGAAAUAAAAAGAAAAAUAACGAGGUAAGAGGGCCCGGCUUGGAAUAAAAAUAUGAG